UCAUUAAAUCAGUUAUGGUUCACUAGAUCGUAUAUCCUACACGGAUAACUGAGGUAAUUCUUCAGCUAAUACGUGCUACAAGCUCGUUCUCUUGUGGAGCGAGCGCAGUUAUUAGAACAAAACCAAUCCGGCCUUCGGGUCGGUUAAAAUGGUGACUCUGAAUAACCGAAGCGGAGCGUAUGGUCUCGUACCGACGCCAGAUCUUUCAAGUGACUGCUCUAUCAGCUUGUUGUUAGGUUAUGCUCCUAACAAGGCUUCAACGGGUAACGGGGUAUCAGGGUCCGAUACCGGAGAGGGAGCCUGAGAAACGGCUACCACAUCCAAGGAAGGCAGCAGGCGCGCAAAUUACCCACUCCCAGCACGGGGAGGUAGUGACGAAAAAUAACGAUGCGAGGGCAUAUUGCUUCUCGUAAUCGGAAUGGGUACACUUUAAAUCCUUUAACGAGGAUCUAUUGGAGGGCAAGUCUGGUGCCAGCAGCCGCGGUAAUUCCAGCUAAAA
rnacentral:rRNA from 1 species